rnacentral:rRNA from 1 species
ACAUAUGACCACAGAAAGUGGAAAAUAGGGCUUCCUGUCUGCUCAGCUGUAGUUACUCAAGCCACUUGCCAGCUGGCUAGUAGUUGGGUGGGUGAUCACCAGCAAAUCCCAGCUGGUGUAUGUU